AUGGGCAGUCUUUUGAGGUUGCUCCACCACCUGUGGAGGAGGUGGCUUACACGACCGGUCGGUCGGAUGUGCCAUCUCCUACCCCGAGAUCUUCAUCAUCAUGAUAGACUGGCACGCCACAGGAGGUGGCGUCCCGGUCUGGAGCGGGGGACCGCCUGCCUGACUUCAGCGCAUGACCGACAGGGUGGACGACGCACCAGAGGAGUCUGCGUCGAUGCUAUCUCCCACGGUUGCUGUCGCUGGGCACAUGGUAGGCGACCAAAGCUUGGGCGGAGUGACUAUGGAGGAGGUGAUAGCUUUUGGCGGGAUCCCGGAUCCUGCAUCCGGGGGCGGGCGCUUUAG
rnacentral:rRNA from 1 species